CGGGCGCAUCGGCCGUCAGUGGACCAGACGUUUUGCUGCCUCGCGCACAAUCUUCAAAAAAGAGCUGAAUUCCUGACGAAGUCCCUUUGUAGUACCCUCUGAUGAGAAGGGGUUUUUUAGAUGGGAGCCGUCACUUGGAGUUCACCUGCUCAGGCUGAACCAGGCCCAGAACCAGAUUCCAGCACCAACCAAAAAGUGUGCAAUGAUUCGGGUAUCGAAGAGUUAAACAAAGAAGAUGCAAAUGAAUUCAAAACAAAUCAAAAAGACACGAAGAAGCAACAUCCUAUUUCCAGCCAUCUACAUGAACGUGAAAAUUCGGAAGAGGCAGAUUUGGAAAAAGAAUACGACAUCGUCAAAUUCUCGCCGGAGCCGGAAAUACGACAAAAUCUUGAACCUAUUAUGAACCGCCCAACUGGAGGCAGGAUACCAGAAAAGAUCGACAAAACUGAGGAAACCCGCGAGGUUGAAGAUGUUUCAAAUGGUGACGCAUCCAAUUCUCAAAAGACACGCAUUUUAAGCCUUUACGACUCAUUUAUUUCUAACCCUAGCGAUGGAACAAAUGCAAUAUUUACAACAGCAUUGACAUCUACGGUGGAAAAAACCAAAUCAGAAACAAUGAAAAAAGGUGAAAUACGCGAUAAUAAAGAACAUGAAACAUUUGUUGAGGGCUUCCCCAGUGACGGAGAAUCUAGUCGGCUUAGAGCCAGAGCAACAGAACCGAACGAAAUACAACCUAAGACGAAGGAAAAUAACUGCGAUGUAACGUUAAAUAGUGUAAAUGACUUAGAUCAAGCCACUCCAGAAGAAUCAGAUUCUACGCACAAAUUCAAAUUUGAUCAGUUGAUGUCGAAGAUACUAACGGAAGUCGAGACAGAAGAAAAAAUUGACAAACAGCUAAAAGUCAGAGCAGUGGAACCAAGCGAAACCCAAUCUGAAACGGAAGACAAUAACUGUGAUGCAACUUUAAAAGUGUGAAUGACUCAGAUCAAGCCACUCCAGAAGAAUCAAAUUCUACGCAGAAAUUCAAGUUUGAUGAGUUGGUGUCGAAAAUACUAACGGAAGACGAUGUAGAACUAGAGGAAGGCGGAGAAUUGAACAAUAUCACCGAAGAAGAGCCGGUGCGAGUAGAGGGAGAGGAGGUACAGAGCGAGGAGCAUAACGGAGACGAAGAGGAGGACGAGGAGACGAAAGAGAGGC
rnacentral:lncRNA from 1 species